UAAACUGAGGAAGUGGGGAUGACGUCAAGUCAGCAUGCCCCUUACGUCCUGGGCGACACACGUACUACAAUGGGUAAGACAAAGGGUAGCCAAGUCGCGAGGCCGAGCCAAUCCCAUAAACUUAUCCUCAGUUCAGAUUGCAGGCUGCAACUCGCCUGCAUGAAGGAGGAAUCGCUAGUAAUCGCAGGUCAGCAUACUGCGGUGAAUCCGUUCCCGGGCCUU
rnacentral:rRNA from 1 species